AUUACUAACACCAUUUAUUGAACUUGUCCGUAUUUAUCUAUCUUUACAACAAUUAAAAAUGUUGCCAUUAGUGAAGAUCGGAUUUUUUGUGUGUGUUUUCUCACUUUCGUCUGCACUUUUAUUAGACGAUGCAUGUAGACAUGGAUGGAAGCAUUUUCGGAAUAGAUGUUAUAUGUUUGCUACUGAGAAAGAAACUUGGACUAAUGCUGAGUUUCGUUGCCGUGUUUUUGGAGGUCAUCUGGCGGAAAUUGAAGAUGCUGAUACAAACAAGUUCUUGAAAGAUACAGCAUAAAUAAAGAAUGGAAAUGAUCACAACCAUCAUUACUUCAUUGGCUUGACUGACGAAGCCGCAUUGGACGAGUGGGAAUGGGUGGAAAGCGCUACAAAACCAAACUUUACAGAUUGGGGUAAUCACCAGCCAGAUCACCAAGGCAACGAUGAACAUUGCGUUUUAUUUUAUGCACGUGAUGAUUAUCGAUGGCAUGACGCAGAUUGUGACAACCAUAAUUAUUUUAUCUGUGAGGAGGAAGAAGUGAAUUCAGGCG